GAUAAGUUGGUUGCUAGGUAAACCCCAUUCUAAGAGGAGUCAGUUGUAAAAUGGCAUUUUUUUUUUUAAAGAGGAAGAUGUUUGGGGAAGAGACAGCAAAGUUUUAACAAGAUCCCACAUGCUGGGUUCUGAACUGAUUCUCUGCCAAGGGUCAGUCAAUACUUGAGCCUAUAAACCACUUUACCCAAAGUGACAACUGUCUUUUCAAAUGUGUCGUUACUGUUUAAGACAGUGUCUCGGGUCUAGAGAUAUGACUCAGCGGUUAAGAGCACUAACUGCUCUUCCAGAGAUCCUGAAUUCAAUUCCCAGCAACCACAUGGUGGCUCACAACCAUCUGUAAUGAGAUCUGAUGCCCUCUUCUGGUAAGGCUGAAGACAACAACACACUCACAUAAAAUAAAAAAAAAAGACAGUGUCUCAUUACAUUGCCCAAGCUGGACUCGAACCCUGAACCCUUCUAUUCCUCCUUCAGGUGCCAGACUUGCAGGUGUGCACCGUCAUGCCGAGGCUUAAACAUCUAAUUUUAAAAUUUGAUGUUUUCAAACAAAAUAAGGUCUAGGUGGGUGGUGGUGUUUGCUUGUUUGUUUUAACCAGGAUAACAACAAACAUGUAACAGACACACAAUGACAUUUAGGUAACAUUUGAAGCAAUGGUGACAGGCACCUGCAGAGUUGACACAUUGUAACAGUGAUUCUGGGCCUGCUCUUAGUUCACAGCCAGGAGGACAUGUUUAACCCCCGCUUAUGUUGAACCAGCACACAGAUUAACUGUGGUUCAGCUUAGGACACUCCUUCUGGUGCUAAUUGCUGGGUGUUGGGGGAGGGGGCUUUUGGUCCUUUCCAAACUGAAGCUACUGAUUUCUUCCCUUUCUCAAAUCUGACACCCCCAAACAUGCGGAGUGCAUUCCCCAUGGCUGGCUGCACCCCCUACACACACACACACACACACACACACACACACACACACACCAUACACAUCUCUAGUGGAAACCCAUCCUCCUCCGAACAGCAGCCCAGGAGUGCCCUUGACACGAAAGGACUCGUCACCACCACAGCGAGGACAGUCUCUGUAAUGACAAUUUUGGACUUUUGGUUUCUUUACAAAACCCUGAAGUAUUAUAAGAAUACGGUUUUUUGGUUUAGUCCCAGGCAUGGGAUAUGAGGUUGCUUUACCUUGUCCACAGCAGCUGACUAUGAUGGCCUCAUGCUCUAGCAGGGGUGCAUUUUGCCUGAGGCAGGUAGCUUCUGUGAUUGUGUGACUUUGGGAUUCUGGGGACUUUUCAAAGGGUACAUAAAUGCAAGGUCCCUGAGAAGCCAUGCAGGUUGCUGGUUUGUGGUUGGGUGCUGUUGGUCGUUGUUAGUUGCAAUUUGUUAAGUAGUCCUGCCACAGAAGAAAUAAUUAGAUAUACUGACAGUGAAAAUGAAAUUUGCCCCAAUGAACUCAAUGCCCCUAAUCAGCAGGAAGUUAGUCUAAAGAUAAUGUCACCCCAUUUCCAUUCUACUCUUUUGUCAUCUAGUGUUAGGAGGUUGAAAGGGAAGAAAUAGGGUGGAAGGAUGGAGAAGGGUGGAAGACAGAAGAACUUACAAGGUAGCCAAAGCCCAAGGACAAGUCUCCUUGCUCAGGCAACCUCUGAGCUCAGGAGCCCUGGAAAGGCCACAAGACCAAACAUAGGACACUCUGUCCCAUUUCCCAACCCAAGCUGGGUUCACUCACCAUCUGGAGUGGACACUGGCCCAAAUCCUGAGGACACAACCCUGCUUUUGAUUGGCAUCUGUGCAGCCUGACUCGGGAGAGCUCCCAUCUGCCUGAGGUCCAGGCCUUGGCUUGGGUUGGAUGUACCUGUUUGCCAGAUUCCACCCAAGGAAUGCCUGCCGCCUUCCCUUUGGCCAGCUGUGUGAUGUCUGGGACCAGCCUUCAAAGGAGACUUGACCUGGUAGGUGAGCUACCCUGGGAACAAGAGGUAGAACUCUCAGCUCCUCCAGCACCACACCUGCCUGGAUGCUGCCAUGCAUGCUUCCUGCCAUGAUGAUAAUAGACUGACCCUCUGAGACUUUAAGCUACCCCCAAUUAAACGUUGUUCUUU
rnacentral:lncRNA from 1 species